GGGCUAGUGAUUAGGACGUCCACUUAACUUGGAGUCCGAACUCUCACUUUCUAACCCUGUGCAUUUGUUUGGGAUAGUAACUCUCGCAAGAGGGCGAACUCCUAUUCACUUAUAAACACAAAGUCUAUGAAUGUAUUAAAUUUUAUAACAAAAUAAAACUUUCAACAACGGAUCUCUUGGCUCUCGCAUCGAUGAAGAACGCAGCGAAAUGCGAUAAGUAAUGUGAAUUGCAGAAUUCAGUGAAUCAUCGAAUCUUUGAACGCACCUUGCGCUCCAUGGUAUUCCGUGGAGCAUGCCUGUUUGAGUGUCAUGAAUACUUCAACCCUCCUCUUUCUUAAUGAUUGAAGAGGUGUUUGGUUUCUGAGCGCUGCUGGCCUUUAGGGUCUAGCUCGUUCGUAAUGCAUUAGCAUCCGCAAUCGAACUUCGGAUUGACUUGGCGUAAUAGACUAUUCGCUGAGGAAUUCUAGUCUUCGGACUAGAGCCGGGUUGGGUUAAAGGAAGCUUCUAAUCAGAAUGUCUACAUUUUAAGAUUAGAUCUCAAAUCAGGUAGGACUACCCGCUGAACUUAAGCAUAUCAAAG
rnacentral:rRNA from 1 species